rnacentral:rRNA from 1 species
AGUGAACGCUGGCGGUAGGCCUAACACAUGCCAGUCGAACGGCAGCACAGUAAGAGCUUGCUCUUACGGGUGGCGAGUGGCGGACGGGUGAGGAAUACAUCGGAAUCUACUUUUUCGUGGGGGAUAACGUAGGGAAACUUACGCUAAUACCGCAUACGACCUACGGGUGAAAGCAGGGGAUCUUCGGACCUUGCGCGAUUGAAUGAGCCGAUGUCGGAUUAGCUAGUUGGCGGGGUAAAGGCCCACCAAGGCGACGAUCCGUAGCUGGUCUGAGAGGAUGAUCAGCCACACUGGAACUGAGACACGGUCCAGACUCCUACGGGAGGCAGCAGUGGGGAAUAUUGGACAAUGGGAGCAAGCCUGAUCCAGCCAUACCGCGUGGGUGAAGAAGGCCUUCGGGUUGUAAAGCCCUUUUGUUGGGAAAGAAAAGCAGCAGGUUAAUACCCCGCUGUUCUGACGGUACCCAAAGAAUAAGCACCGGCUAACUUCGUG